rnacentral:rRNA from 1 species
AGGGAAUCUUCGGCAAUGGGGGCAACCCUGACCGAGCAACGCCGCGUGAGUGAAGAAGGUUUUCGGAUCGUAAAGCUCUGUUGUAAGAGAAGAACGAGCGUGAGAGUGGAAAGUUCACACUGUGACGGUAUCUUACCAGAAAGGGACGGCUAACUACGUGCCAGCAGCCGCGGUAAUACGUAGGUCCCGAGCGUUAUCCGGAUUUAUUGGGCGUAAAGCGAGCGCAGGCGGUUAGAUAAGUCUGAAGUUAAAGGCUGUGGCUUAACCAUAGUACGCUUUGGAAACUGUUUAACUUGAGUGCAAGAGGGGAGAGUGGAAUUCCAUGUGUAGCGGUGAAAUGCGUAGAUAUAUGGAGGAACACCGGUGGCGAAAGCGGCUCUCUGGCUUGUAACUGACGCUGAGGCUCGAAAGCGUGGGGAGCAAACAGGAUUAGAUACCCUGGUAGUCCACGCCGUAAACGAUGAGUGCUAGGUGUUAGACCCUUUCCGGGGUUUAGUGCCGUAGCUAACGCAUUAAGCACUCCGCCUGGGGAGUACGACCGCAAGGUUG